UCGCUAGACUGGCUCUGCAGAAAUUCUGUGCAUAGAUUGCGUCUUGUAGCCCAUUUUAUUUAAUACUGUGUUUGAGUGGUUGUGUUUGCAUAUUUUCUCCACAACGGGGACGCCAUAUCAAAUGAGUAGCUUUUCCGCGGCAAGCGUGAUGGUUUCAUUUUGUAAUCUCUGCCGCAGCUGUUUUGCCUUUGCAUGACAGAUGGCAACACCAUUAUGUGCCAUUUUUGGGGGGACCCCUAUCGCAAGAGGCAAAGCAUGCUUUUGGUUCAUUCUGCAUAGAACAGACAGGCAUUUUGCCCAAGCAUAGUAUAAAGCAAACUCCCUGCCAAGUGACACAUGACAGGCAAACAGCAUCAAAAGUAGGAUAUGAUUAAAGAGUGACUCUGGUAAUGGGACUCCCGCGUUGUGUCCUACCUGCUGCAUGCUUCAUCUAUGAUGUUUUAAACAUUUUUCUUAUUUGUUUUUUGCAUUGUGCAUUUGCACCAGUUAGCUAAAAAAUCUAUUCGGAAAUGCUGUUUCAAAACUGGAACGUGGAAGAGUCAGUGCUUUGGCAGAAUGGUCGUGUAUCCUCCUCAUAGGGCGGCAGAAUGAUUGGCACAUUAAAUUGACAUGUAGUGUUUUAUUCUCUGUUUUACCAGCAGAUUUGGCCAAGACACCUGCCGCCUUGGAGCGUCAGGGGCAGGUGGACGCCAAUUCCUCCUCUGGUGAUUGGACCAUCAAAAGCAGCGAUAACAACUCUGUUGAUGGAACUCCUGUGGCAGGGAGUGAAGAAAGCACUGUUGCUUCUGUUUCGAGCGAUAUUGGAAUUCCACUGCUAGUCAUCAAGCAAGAACCGUUGGAGGAAUACGAGAAUGCACAGUUUGAAGAGCCGGAGGAAGAGCAGCUGCCCUGCGGUACCAGGUCACAGCAAAGCGAGGAGGACGGCGUCGAGUUGGACGACAACUUGACCACUUGUUUUGUUUGUGGCGAGCCUUUCGGAGCUAAUCACCUGUUAAGGCGCGCUGCCUAUCAUGCGGAGCAUCGACUUCGAUACACGUGCCACCUGUGUCCGUUGAGGUUUGGCAAGCAGUACCUGCUCACACGGCAUCUGAAGCAACACAACUAGUACUAGCAGUUGUGUGUUUAUAAGCUGGGCGCUCUCAAACUUCAUUGGCCUGGAGAAUUGGACGACUUCUUGAGCAUCGAGAAAUGCUAUUUAUACAGUACAGGCUAUGAAUACAGUAUUGGGUGCCCUUUUCUCAUUCCCACCUGUUGAUCUGUUGACCCCUACCUAAUUUACUUGUUAUGUAAUGCUUUGUGCACAGAACUUUGUAAUGGUAUUGCGAAAGAAAAAUCUUCUGCUAAUGUAUGCAUGCACUGUCAGUAUCCUGUUUAAACCUGCCUGAAAAUUACUGGGGAGUAAUAUAUUUAUUUGUUUAAAACUUGUUCUCCUCUCUUUGAACAUUGCUGCAGCUUGUUUCGUUAACCUUGUUUAAGCUAACUUGCUAUGAAUUCAUGCUGUUGUGUUGAUUAACGUCAUUUGGCUUUCUAAUUGCAACUGUUCAGUGAUUCUCAAGGCACUGGAAUAAAGAUUGUUUGGGACAUUGUAAAUUAUUUUGUGUGAAUAUUGUUGCUGCCCAUAAGCUAUCUAGAUUUAGUGUCAGACACUAGCUAAAAUUUUGUAUUUAUUAAUUUGCUGCAGAAUACACAAGAGCUUAAAUUCGCUGUGAGCAUAAAACUUGCACACUGCUAUAAGAAAACAUUGGAGCGCAAGCACAUAAGAAGAGCACAACUCAAAGAGCAAUGAAAUAAGCCACAAUUUACUUUCUUAAUCAAGCCGCACCAGUCAUUGAAGAUUUCCAGUGCUACCUACAAUUUGCAAGGUAGACAAACAGCUACAGCACGUGAUUAUUCUAUGAUAAUUAAUCUGCCCGCUUUAUCCUAUGGGUUAUAAUAUGGGCUACUAUGAGUUUAUCUAUGGGUUAUCUUAUAGAAAUUGAAAAAUGCACGCAUCACUGUGAAUGCCAGGUCAGUUUUUGUUUCCGAGCAAGGAUAAGGUAGGUGUCCUGUUCAUGCAUGUCCGUGCUUACAGAACAGAAGGCAGCAGUCUGGGCUGGUAUAAUUCAAGGAUACUUUCCACUCAAUUCUAUUCCGUUCUUGUCAUUCUCCACUCGCGACUGACUGAUACUGGUGAUAAAACAGGCAAAGUCUCACUUGAACCUCUGAGAAAGCAUGAAAAGAAAAGAUUUUGGAAUAGCAUUGUUGCAUUACUCUGGCCUUUGGAAAGCCCCGAUUUUCGCAGAACUCAGUCUGGCAACAUGUGCUCAGCACUGUGAACAUCUUAAGAGGAUGCUUCAGCUAGGGGCCAACUCUAAGGCCACCCAUUCAAUUACAUGUACAAUACAGACAUGCUUUUGUGAGCCAACCCCUGGACUGAGUCAAAUGAAAUUUGUUGUAUUAGAGAAAGAAAGGUAUAAUUUUGUGACUGUGGGAAGCAGAAUAUUUAUUUGGAGCCUGGAAUUUUUUUACAAAUAUUGCUGAAGAUUGAUAAACUAAAAAAAAAAAAGGCAUGAAGACUGUGAAUUUGCAGCUCUGCACCAAAAGCAGGUAUUGCAGUUCUGUAAACCGCAUUUAUUAGAUCAUCCGAAGUGAACUUAUUUUAUAUAUGAAGUGGCAGGUUAUAAGUUAAUUUGUUGCAAUGUUUGCAAUGGUUUAGCGAAAUUGCUACUCAAAAGUUAGUGAUGUACUUCAAAGCAGUGUAUCGUACAUCAAUUUCGUCCGCUUUAGAUUUAUUAUUAGGUACAGUUUACAGAAUUAUGAUUCUGUUUUUCAUUGCUGAAUGACAAAGUCGUGAAUUUGAGUUCAGUUUGCUGAAAUUUAACAAUUUCAAACAAAUUUUUAAUGAGAGUUGACAGCUUAAAUAAAGAAUCUGCUUUCCACAGUCAUCAGAUUGUAACUUUUGCUUUUAAGUGCAACAAGCCUCGUCAAAAUCAGUGCAGUGGUCACUUUGAAAAAAGGAUUUUUGCUUUCCCAUAUAUUUAGAUAGAAGCUUCCGAGCUAAAGCUUCCGCUUAAGGUGUGAUCCAGCCUUUGUUGCCGUGGUAUACGCAUACAGCUGUCCAUCGCAUGUGUAAUGCAGUAGUCGUGAGAUAGUGGUGCAGUAAGCAGUGGGAUUCGCACCAUACUGCCCCUACAAUACUGUAUUCAUUUUCAGAGCAUAUUGUUAAAAAAAGCUGCCGUGUAUGCAAUAAUAUCGUACAUUCUUGCUUUACUGCCACUAAUUCAUGUACAUUUCUGAACUGAUCCAACUGGCCAUGGCCUUUCAUUGUAGUUUCCUCUUUGUGAUAUUUGCUCUUAGAUAUAUGAUGGUGUGAAGUAUUUUGUUAUGUUACAUAUGCCCCUAUUGUGUUCUAGCUGUUUAGCAUAUUGUUUGUAUGUUGCCAUUCUAAUGUGCCUGCGUUUAUAACUGUUUUUAUUUGUGUUGAUGUUUUUGAGGUCGCAGCUUACACAAGCUGGUUAUUUGCAUCAGUCAUGUUGUGAAACUGUGAUGGUAAAAUGAGCAAAAUAAAGUAUAUUCUGAAAGCAUAA
rnacentral:lncRNA from 1 species